rnacentral:rRNA from 1 species
AGCAUGUGGUUUAAUUCGAAGCAACGCGAAGAACCUUACCAGGUCUUGACAUCCCUGACAACCAAGAGAUUGGGCGUUCCCCUUCGGGGGACAGGGUGACAGGUGGUGCAUGGUUGUCGUCAGCUCGUGUCGUGAGAUGUUGGGUUAAGUCCCGCAACGAGCGCAACCCUCGCCUCUAGUUGCCAGCAUUCGGUUGGGCACUCUAGAGGGACUGCCGGCGACAAGUCGGAGGAAGUGGGGAUGACGUCAAAUCAUCAUGCCCCUUAUGACCUGGGCUACACACGUGCUACAAUGGGCGGUACAAAGGGCUGCGAACCCGCGAGGGGGAGCGAAUCCCAAAAAGCCGCUCUCAGUUCGGAUUGCAGGCUGCAACUCGCCUGCAUGAAGCCGGAAUCGCUAGUAAUCGCGGAUCAGCAUGCCGCGGUGAAUACGUUCCCGGGCCUU